rnacentral:rRNA from 1 species
CCUACGGGAGGCAGCAGUGGGGAAUAUUGGACAAUGGGCGCAAGCCUGAUGCAGCGACGCCGCGUGAGGGAAGACGGCCUUCGGGAUGUAAAGCUCUGUCAGCAGGGACGAAAAUGACGGUACCUGACCCAGAAGCCCCGGCUAACUACGUGACAGCAGCCGCGGUAAUACGUAGGGGGCAAGCGUUAUCCGGAUUUACUGGGUGUACAGGGGGGGUAGACGGCAGGGCAAGUGUGGAGUGAAAGGCGGGGGCUCAACCCCCGGACUGCUCUGGAAACUGCCAGGCUGGAGUGCGGGAGAGGUAAGUGGAAUUCCUAGUGUAGCGGUGAAAUGCGUAGAUAUUAGGAGGAACACCAGUGGCGAAGGCGGCAUACUGGACUGUAACUGACGUUGAGGCACGAAAGCGUGGGGAGCAAACAGGAUUAGAUACCCUUGUAGUC